UUUAGUGGAUAUAAUCCCAUCAUGUUGGUUUACUGAUGAAGACAAGGCUGAGUGUUUUUGGCCAUCAGGCCUAAGUCUUAAUAUCACUAAGGCAGUUAAGCAGCAAGUCCAGCCAGAUGCUUCAUGGAGGACAUACCGUGUACGUGUUAUUGGAAAUGCAGAUACAUAUGGAGAUGCUCGGCGUAAGCUUGCACUAGCAGAGGUUACAUCUGAUCUCCAAACAGACAAUGAUGUACCAAAGAAGCGACAAAGAAGGCCAUCCAAAAGAACUCAGGUUCUGUCAAGUGAGGAGGAAGCUGAGUCAUGUGAUGAAGACGAAGUGCCACCCUCUCCUCCUCUUGAAUUUGACAGAUAUUCAGCAGUAAGGUAUAAGCCUAACAUCACCUUGAGAGUGAGUGGCCCCAGUGUGACCUCUGGUGUUUGAAGCCCCAGUGUGACCUUGAGUGUUCGAAGCCCAAGCGCAACCCCAAGUGUUAAAAGCCUUAGUGCUUCCUCAAGCCUGAGCAGCUACAGUGACUUUGAAGGAGCCAUGUUUGCAAAAUUGGUAACACUCCUGGAGGAAGUGAAGGACACUCAAAGCGUACAUGGCAAAAUGUUAAAUACACUGCUGAAGCAGAAGGUGGCUGUGCCAGUGUUAAAACCACCUGAAGGAGCAGUAUUUCCGCUGACCACAAUCCAAGACGUGCAGGCCAUGAACGAGAAGCUCAGCAACUGAGUUCAUGACUGGAGUUACUUCUAUGGUGGGAGAAAUAGAUGGUACUUCACUGGAUGAUGCCACCAGAAGAAUGAUGGCAUUCCUCAUGUCCAAUGAAUUGGCACUUCAGUUCAACCUUUUUGGACGCCAUGGCAAGAACAAGUUCUGAGAGCUGCAUCUUUUUGAUGUUGUUUACGGAGCGCUCAAGAGGAAUGCAUUGACUCAAGGAAUUACACAAAAGGAUGCAGAAAAGGCCCUCUCCAAGUGGUUCAUCGGAGCCCGAGACAGAGGUGGAAACAGAACAGUAAGAGCUCAGAGAGCUUCAGAAAAAAGGUGGAGGGGGGUUGCUCAGCCAAGAGAAAUAGUCCCAAUAGAUAGAAAUGUCCAGGUUAUGUUAUGGUGGACUGAUUUUGGACUUGUUUGACUUUGGAGAUCAAAGGUUAAGGUGACUGUCACCUCAUGUUUUCUGCACCAUUCCUUUCUCUUUUAUUUAUUUAUUAAUUUUUGCAGAUCAAAUGUUUUGUUUAGAACACGUUUUAUUAAACGUUCAUUGAAAUACAA